UACGUAGGGUCCGAGCGUUGUCCGGAAUUAUUGGGCGUAAAGGGCUCGUAGGCGGUUCGUCACGUCGGGAGUGAAAACUCGGAGCUUAACUCCGAGCCUGCUUCCGAUACGGGCAGACUAGAGGUAGGCAGGGGAGAGCGGAACUCCUGGUGUAGCGGUGGAAUGCGCAGAUAUCAGGAAGGAACACCCGGUGCGAAGGCGGCACUCUGG
rnacentral:rRNA from 1 species